CCUACGGGUGGCAGCAGUGGGGAAUAUUGGACAAUGGGGGGAACCCUGAUCCAGCCAUGCCGCGUGUGUGAAGAAGGCCCUCGGGUUGUAAAGCACUUUCAGUGAGGAAGAACGCCUGGUGGUUAAUACCCAUCAGGAAAGACAUCACUCACAGAAGAAGCACCGGCUAACUCCGUGCCAGCAGCCGCGGUAAUACGGAGGGUGCGAGCGUUAAUCGGAAUUACUAGGCGUAAAGCGCGCGUAGGUGGCUUGAUAAGCCGGUUGUGAAAGCCCCGGGCUCAACCUGGGAACGGCAUCCGGAACUGUCAAGCUAGAGUGCAGGAGAGGAAGGUAGAAUUCCCGGUGUAGCGGUGAAAUGCGUAGAGAUCGGGAGGAAUACCAGUGGCGAAGGCGGCCUUCUGGACUGACACUGACACUGAGGUGCGAAAGCGUGGGUAGCAAACAGGAUUAGAUACCCCGGUAGUC
rnacentral:rRNA from 1 species